GGGGAAGCCAUCUAUCAUGUCAUGGUAGGCUACAGGGAGUUCCAUGUGGGGAAGAACUGAAACCUCCUCCCAACAGCCAUGUGAGGAAGCUUGGAAAACCUUAGAAGAGUAUCCUUUAAAAAAAAGUUUUAAAUUAAACACAAAUAAAUACAUAAACAGUACAACUGCAAUCUCAUGAGACAUCCCAAGCGAGACAACUCAGGGCUCACAAUCUACUUAAAAAUUUCGAUAUAGUCACUCAUUUAUUCUACAAACAUUUACCAAAGUCCUUUGAUGUGUCAGCUCUAAGCACUCAAGAUGGAGUGGCAGUAGGAUCCCAACACUUAUAUCUGUCCAGAAUUGGUCAUCAGCUGGCUUGAGUUCUCCCAUUCUGCCUGUGCCUUCCCUUAGCAAGGGAAAGAACAAGAUGGAAGAGAAGGAAAAGGCUUGAUUGAACCAGCCAAUAGAUAAUUAGAAGCUGACUAUUUUGCAAUAAUGCAGCACAACAGCAAUAAAUAAAUCAAUCACUUGGGGGGUGGGGAAUGACUUCCCUAUAAUCAGCUAUUAAAGACUUGUACCACUAAUUAGUCUA
ensembl:lncRNA MIR29B2CHG MIR29B2 and MIR29C host gene